GUUUAUCCCCCAUUAAAAGUGCAAACCCCAGGCUUCCUUUUUGUUUAAGGGUUGAAGGGGGAUCAGGAUACCCCCCUAGUUUUGACCGGUAACGGAUGCCAACUAGCGAUCCGCCGAAGGAGUUUCAUUUGCCUUGGUGGGGAGCUUCCCGGAAACGAAAGUCUUCCGGUUCCGGGGGAAGUAGGGUUGCAAAGCUGAAACUUAAAGGAAUUGACGGAAGGGCACCACCAGGAGUGGAGCCUGCGGCUUAAUUUGACUCAACACGGGGAAACUCACCCGGCCCGGACACUGUGAGGAUUGACAGAUUGAUAGCUUUUUCAUGAUUCAGUGGAUGGUGGUGCAUGGCCGUUCUUAGUUCGUGGAGUGAUUUGUCUGGUUUAUUCCGAUAACGAGCGAGACUCUAACCUACUAAAUAGCUGAUGCAUAUUUUACGUGUAUUCGGCUUCUUAGAGGGAUUUGCGGCUUUCAGCCGAAAGAAAUUGAGCAAUAACAGGUCUGUGAUGCCCUUAGAUGUCCGGGGUUGCACGCGCGCUACACUGGCAAAAUCAACGUGCUUGUCCUACCCCGAAAGGGGUGGGUAAACCAUUGAAAAUUUGCCGUGAUUGGGAUCGGAAAUUGCAAUUAUUUUCCGUGAACGAGGAAUUCCAAGUAAGUGCGAGUCAUCAGCUCGCGUUGAUUACGUCCCUGCCCUUUGUACACACCGCCCGUCGCUGCCCGGGACUGAGCCAUUUCGAGAAACUUGGAGACUGUUGAUCUAAUUUUUUUAAGUUACUUUGAUGGAAACCAAUUUAAUCGCAGUGGCUUGAACCGGGCAAAAGUCGUAACAAGGUAGCUGUAGGUGAACCUGCUGCUG
rnacentral:rRNA from 1 species